CCUACGGGAGGCUGCAGUGAGGAAUAUUGGUCAAUGGACGCAAGUCUGAACCAGCCAUGCCGCGUGCAGGAUGACGGCUCUAUGAGUUGUAAACUGCUUUUGUACGGGGGUAACCCCCGAUACGUGUAGCGGUUUGAAAGUAUCGUACGAAUAAGGAUCGGCUAACUCCGUGCCAGCAGCCGCGGUAAUACGGAGGGUCCGAGCGUUAUCCGGAUUUAUUGGGUUUAAAGGGUGCGUAGGCGGUAUGAUAAGUGAGAGGUGAAAUGUCCGGGCUCAACCCGGGAACUGCCGCGAAUACUGUUGGGCUAGAGAACAGUGGAGGUAGGCGGAAUGUAUGGUGUAGCGGUGAAAUGCUUAGAUAUCACGAAGAACCCCGAUUGCGAAGGCAGCUUGCUGGACUGGAACUGACGCUGAUGCUCGAAAGCGUGGGUAUCAAACAGGAUUAGAUACCCCAGUAGUC
rnacentral:rRNA from 1 species